GUGCCAGCAGCCGCGGUAAUACGUAGGUGACAAGCGUUGUCCGGGAUUUAUUGGGCGUAAAGCGAGCGCAGGCGGUCUUUUAAGUCUGAUGUGAAAGCCCACGGCUCAACCGUGGAUGGUCAUUGGAAACUGGAAGACUUGAAUGCAGAAGAGGAAAGUGGAAUUCCAUGUGUAGCGGUGAAAUGCGUAGAUAUAUGGAGGAACACCAGUGGCGAAGGCGACUUUCUGGUCUGUAAUUGACGCUGAGGCUCGAAAGCGUGGGGAGCGAACAGGAUUAGAUACCCUGGUAGUCC
rnacentral:rRNA from 1 species